AUUGAACGCUGGCGGCAUGCUUUACACAUGCAAGUCGAACGGCAGCGCGGGCUUCGGCCUGGCGGCGAGUGGCGAACGGGUGAGUAAUGCAUCGGAACGUGCCCAGUAGUGGGGGAUAGCCUGGCGAAAGCCGGAUUAAUACCGCAUACGACCUGAGGGUGAAAGCGGGGGACCGAAAGGCCUCGCGCUAUUGGACCGGCCGAUGUCGGAUUAGCUCGUUGGUGGGGUAAAGGCUUACCAAGGCGACGAUCCGUAGCUGGUCUGAGAGGACGACCAGCCACACUGGAACGGAGACACGGCCCAGACUCCUACGGAGGACAGCAGGGGGAAAUUUUGGACAAGGGGGGCAACCCUGAUCCAGCCAUGCCGCGUGCGGGAAGAAGUCCUUCGGGUUGUAAACCGCUUUUGUUCGGGAAGAAAUCCUCUGGGCUAAUACCCCGGGGGGAGGACGGUACCGGAAGAAUAAGCACCGGCUAACUACGG
rnacentral:rRNA from 1 species